rnacentral:rRNA from 1 species
AUGUUCGUUAGGAACUAUGCACGUUGGCUCCACCGACGACGGAAACCAUCUCUCCUCCUCAAGCUCGAUAUAAAGAAGGCGUUCGACAAUGUGCGAUGGGAUUACAUCUUCGACCUCCUGCAAAAACACGGAUUUCCACCUAGGUUCCGCAAUUGGAUUGUUGCCCUCCCCUCGAGCUUCACAUCUCGGGUACUUCUUAAUGGCAUCCCCGGGGAUCCCAUUAGGCAUGGUCGUGGCCUCCGACAGGGAGACCCGCUCUCCCCGCUACUCUUCGUCCUUGCCAUCGACCCCCUACAACGGGUGCUGCAGUUGGCAACCGAGCAGGGCCUCCAGCAUGACUUGGGUGGCCGUGGGGUGCAAUUCCGGACAUCGCUAUACGCAGACGAUGUGGCAAUCUUUGUCACUCCGAUAAAGGAGGACGUUCAGGUCAUCUCAAAUAUCCUGGAGAGCUUUGGAGUGGUGACCGGACUUGCUGCAAACUUCCAAAAAAAUGCUCGUGGCACCCAUCCGGUGUGA